GACCUCAAAUCAGGUAAGAAUACCCGCUGAACUUAAGCAUAUCAAUAAGCGGAGGAAAAGAAAAUAACAAUGAUUCCUCUAGUAACUGCGAGUGAAGAGGGAAAAGCUCAAAUUUUAAAUCUGUUAGGUUUACCUAACCGAGUUGUAAUUUGAAGAAGCGUUUUCUGCGAUUUUGGUUAGUCCAAAUCCUUUGGAAUAAGGUAUCAUGGAGGGUGAGAAUCCCGUUCGGUUAACCAAAGCGCUGUACGAUACGCUUUCAAAGAGUCAAGUUGUUUGGGAUUGCAGCUUAAAAUGGGAGGUAAAUUUCUCCUAAGGCUAAAUAUUGGCGAGAGACCGAUAGCGAACAAGUACCGUGAGGGAAAGAUGAAAAGAACUUUGAAAAGAGAGUUAAACAGUACGUGAAAUUGUUGAAAGGGAAACGAUUGAAG
rnacentral:rRNA from 1 species